UACGUAGGGGGCAAGUGUUCCGGAAUCAUUGGGCGUAAGCAGCGUCGUGAGAGCGGCUUGGUAAGUCUGCUCUGAAAGCCCGGGGCUCAACCCCGGGAGGCGGGUGGAUACUGUCAAGCUCGAGUCCGGAAGAGGAGUGUGGAAUUCCUGGUGUAGCGGUGAAAUGCGCAGAUAUCAGGAGGAACACCGACGGCGAAGGCAGCACUCUGGGCCGUACUGACGCUGAGGAGCGAAAGCAUGGGGAGCGAACAGG
rnacentral:rRNA from 1 species